rnacentral:rRNA from 1 species
UACGUAGGGGCCGAGCGUUGUCCGGAGUUAUUGGGCGUAAAGCGCGCGUAGGCGGCCCGGUAAGUCCGCUGUAAAAGUCAAAGGCUCAACCUUUGAAUGUCAGUGGAUACUGCCGGGCUAGAGUCCGGAAGAGGCGAGUGGAACUCCUGGUGUAGCGGUGGAAUGCGCAGAUAUCAGGAAGAACACCGACGGCGAAGGCAGCUCGCUGGGACGGUACUGACGCUGAGGCGCGAAAGCGUGGGGAGCGAACAGG